rnacentral:lncRNA from 1 species
GCUGGUACUGGUGGAAGUAAGCCCUAGGAUCCAUAUUUGUUUUGUGUUCUGCUUAAAUCAGCAAGAAUGAUAAAUUCGAUGGUGUGAAAUUGGAAGUAUCAAGGGCUUUCUUUGGUGACUGCACAAAGUCAUGUCUCCACCUGGAAUUUAUUAUGACCUUUUUUCACUGUAUGUACUUCAUAUGUCUAAUAUUUAUUUCAAAACAAAUUAAAUUGUUCUUCCUUCAUCUAUAAUGUUUUAUCUAACAUUUUAUUGAUGUAAAGUCAAAUUGUGUAAUAAAAGUCUUCCUGGAUUU